CCACGGGUUGCUCCAGUGAGGAAUAUUGCACAAUGGGGGGAACCCUGAUGCAGCAACGCCGCGUGGAGGAUGACGCAUUUCGGUGUGUAAACUCCUUUUAUAUGUCAAGAAAAUGACGGUAGCAUAUGAAUAAGCACCGGCUAACUCCGUGCCAGCAGCCGCGGUAAUACGGAGGGUGCAAGCGUUACUCGGAAUCACUGGGCGUAAAGGACGCGUAGGCGGGUUGGAAAGUCAGGUGUGAAAUCCUACAGCUUAAAUGUAGAACUGCACUUGAAACUUCUAAUCUAGAGUAUGGGAGGGGGAGAUGGAAUUAGUGGUGUAGGGGUAAAAUCCGUAGAUAUCACUAGGAAUACCUAAAACGAAGGCGAUCUCCUGGAACAUUACUGACGCUAAGGCGUGAAAGCGUGGGGAGCAAACAGGAUUAGAUACCCUCGUAGUC
rnacentral:rRNA from 1 species